GAUGAACGCUGGCGGCGUGCCUAAUACAUGCAAGUCGAGCGAACAGACGAGGAGCUUGCUCCUCUGACGUUAGCGGCGGACGGGUGAGUAACACGUGGAUAACCUCCCUAUAAGACUGGGAUAACUUCGGGAAACCGGCGCUAAUACCGGAUAAUAUAUUAAACCGCAUUGUUCAAUAGUGAAAGACGGUUUUGCUGUCACUUAUAGAUGGAUCCGCGCCGCUUUAGGUAGUUGGUACGGUAACGGCUUACCACGGCGACGAUGCGUAGCCGACCUGAGAGAGUGAUCGGCCACACGGGAACUGAGACACGGUCCAGACUCCUACGGGAGGCAGCAGUAGGGAAUCUGACGCAAUGGGCGAGAGCCUGACGGAGCGACGCCGCGUGAGUGAUGAAGGUCUUCGGAGCGUAAAACUCUGUUAUUAGGGAAGAACAAAUGUGUAAGUAACAAUGCACGUCUUGACGGUACCUAAUCAGAAAGCCACGGCUAACUACGUG
rnacentral:rRNA from 1 species